rnacentral:rRNA from 1 species
CUGAGAGGGCGACCGGCCACAUUGGGACUGAGAUACGGCCCAGACUCUUACGGGAGGCAGCAGUGGGGAAUAUUGCACAAUAGGCGCAAGCCUGAUGCAGCGACGCCGCGUGCGGGAUGACGGCCUUCGGGUUGUAAACCGCUUUUGAUUGGGAGCAAGCCUUCGGGUGAGUGUACCUUUCGAAUAAGCACCGGCUAACUACGUGC